GGAGGAACUGCAGCUCAGUGGUAGAGCAACUGCUUUGCAUGCAGGAGAUACUGGGUCCAAUCCCCAGCAUCUCCA